rnacentral:rRNA from 1 species
GGCGAACGCUGGCGGCAGGCUUAACACAUGCAAGUCGAACGCCCCGCAAGGGGAGUGGCAGACGGGUGAGUAGCACGUGGGAACGUACCCUUUGGUUCGGAAUAACUUGGGGAAACUCAAGCUAAUACCGGAUAAGCCCUUAUGGGGAAAGGUUUACUGCCGAAGGAUCGGCCCGCGUCUGAUUAGCUAGUUGGUGAGGUAAUGGCUCACCAAGGCGACGAUCAGUAGCUGGUCUGAGAGGAUGAUCAGCCACACUGGGACUGAGACACGGCCCAGACUCCUACGGGAGGCAGCAGUGGGGAAUAUUGGACAAUGGGGGCAACCCUGAUCCAGCCAUGCCGCGUGAGUGAUGAAGGCCUUAGGGUUGUAAAGCUCUUUUACCCGGGACGAUAAUGACUGUACCGGGAGAAUAAGCCCCGGCUAACUUCGUGCCAGCAGCCGCGGUAA